rfam:Megasphaera elsdenii strain DSM 20460 draft genome
GGCCCCUUGGUCAAGCGGUCUAAGACAUCGCCCUUUCACGGCGAGAACAUGGGUUCAAAUCCCGUAGGGGUCA